rnacentral:rRNA from 1 species
AUUGAACGCUGGCGGCAGGCUUAACACAUGCAAGUCGAGCGAGUGGCGGACGGGUGAGUAAUGUCUGGGAAACUGCCUGAUGGAGGGGGAUAACUACUGGCAACGGUAGCUAAUACCGCAUACCAUCAGAUGUGCCCAGAUGGGAUUAGCUAGUUGGUGGGGUAAUGGCUCACCUAGGCGACGAUCCCUAGCUGGUCUGAGAGGAUGACCAGCCACACUGGAACUGAGCCACGGUCCAGCCUCCUACGGGAGGCAGCAGUGGGGAAUAUUGCACAAGGGGCGAAAGCCGGAUGCAGCCAGGCCGCGUGUAUGAAGAAGGCCUUCGGGUUGUAAAGUACUUUCAGCGGGGAGGCGUUACUCGCAGAAGAAGCACCGGCUAACUCCGUGCCAGCAGCCGCGGUAAUAC